AACCAAUACACUUUCCUCUGUCGCAAUAAUUCUUAAAGUUGUGUUAACAUGGCUGGAAAUAAGAUUACUUUUUUCAUUGCUGCUCUCCUUUUGGCGAUUACUAUUAAUGUGUUCAGCGUUCCGAGGAUGCAAGUGAUGGCAUCGCGAAACUUACCAUUAAAUAUGUACUCCUACAAUAUUUUGGAAGGAAACCUACCGAUUCUUGCACUUAAUGACAGAGCUUGUCUUUUACCCUGCAGGGGAAAUACAGACUGCUCUAGUGGCACCAUUUGCAGAACUUGUGGGCCGAAUUUUACAUGUUCUCCUUAGGAAUUAAUUAUAAAGAAAUUCCUAUGCUUAUGUUGUUUUCCUUUUUCAUGUUCCGCUUUCCAUCUUUAUGUUGUUAUAAUAUAAUAAGGGGUAAGUAAAAUUAUUUUAAACUCCAAACCGGUAGCAGGGACUCCAACAUCCCUCUUUUGGUUACGUUGUUUUAUGAUAUAUCAUGUGUAUUCAGUUGCAAUAUAUAGUAACAAUGAUGAGUGUAUUGAGUAUAUA